GGGGAUUUAGCUCAGUGGUAGAGCACUUGCCUAGCAAGCAGAAGGCCAUGGGUGCAGUCCUCA
rnacentral:tRNA from 1 species